CAAGAUGUAGCUUCAACUAAAGCAUUCAGCCUACACCUGAAAGAUACUCACCACCCACUGAGUCAUCUUGA
rnacentral:tRNA from 1 species